AAUCCACCUCUGCAUGUGAUCAUCUGCAUGUGACUCCUUGAACUAUGGCAGCCAGCUGGAGCCAUGAAGUAAGCCACCCUAACAUGACUGGCAGAAACAUGGAGAGACAGGGUUUCACCAUAAUGGCCAGGCUGCUCUCCACCUCCUGGGCUCAAGCGAUCCACCCACCUCAGCCUCCCAAAAUGCUGGGAUUACAGGCAUGAGCCAUGGUUCCCCUCCAUCAUCAGUCUUAUAGUUAAAUAGACUUCAAAAGAAUGGAAGUGGCUCAGAUCCCUCACAACUUCCAAGAGACCUUGAUUUCUCAUCCCAUUGGCCCUUCUAAUAGAGCUAUUGGCAUUCACAUCCUAUUUUCAGCCCAAAUGUCAGUUGCUGGAGUACAAAGGCAGUGGCUGCUUCAGAUGCUUCAGACUGAAACUGCUCUUUGCCAUUCUCAUGGACACUGGAGAGUUAAGUUUGGUUAAAUUGAUGGCUUUUUCUUUUAAAAAAGAAAGAAUACACAUAUACCUUUGUGUACACACAAGCUAGGAAACAUCAAUCUAAUACAUGGAUGGCAAGAAAAACCAGAUCUAGCUCAUGCCAGUUACAACGGUCUGUGAAGACAAAAAGAUUUCUUCAGAUUUAUUUCUCAGCCAAUUUGUGCUUUUCUUAGGGAGAAAUUAAAAGUUUGUUAAAUA
rnacentral:antisense_RNA from 1 species